AGAAGGUCACAAAGACAGAUACAGUUAACCAGCAUGUCAGAAAAAUGCUCAGAUUCCUUCAAGAACUUCAUGGAGUUUCCAAUGUAGGGCUGUUUUAGACUUUGAUGAAGAGCUGGAAUCUGAGGAGGAAAUGCCCUGUCCAGGAGGCCUAAUGCUCCUCCACUGCACAAGGUUCCGCUGAAGACAUCUUAAACUGAUGGAUAUCUUACACUGUGACAGAUCAUUGGAAGCUGUUGAAGAAAUGUUUAGGCCUCACAGCAGAGAAGAAGGUCCAGAACACUGAAGACAAACUAGAGAAGACCAGGACAUGGAUGGCAAUCC